rnacentral:rRNA from 1 species
CCUACGGGAGGCAGCAGUCGAGAAUCAUUCUCAAUGGGCGAAACCCUGAUGCUGCGACGUCGCGUGGGGGAAUGCAGGCCUUCGGGUUGUAAACCCCUGUUAUGUGGGAGCAAAUUAAAAAGAUAGUACCACAAGAGGAAGACACGGCUAACUCUGUGCCAGCAGCCGCGGUAAAACAGGGGUCUCAAGCGUUGUAAGGAAUCACUGGGCGUAAAGGGUGCGUUGGCGGUUUCGUAAGUCGUGUGUGAAAAGCGCGGGGUCAAACCGCGGACGGCACCUGAAACUGGGGAACUAGAGUGAGGGAGGGGGAAGCGGAAUGCGCGGUGUAGCAGUGAAAUGCAUAGAUAUCGAGAAGAACACUGGUGGCGAAGGCGGGUUCCUGGAGAAUAACUGACGCUGAGGCACGAAGGCGAGGGUAGCGAAAGGGAUUAGAUACCCCUGUAGUC